AGCCUAUACUUAUAAAACACCAAUCAAUAGGCGGCCUCAAAUAUCACAAGGGAGGGAAAGAAACAGAAUUUAACAGACAACUACCUUAGUAUGCCCUUCUAACUUGGCCAACAUGGUAAACCCAUCUCCAUAAAAUCAUGAAUACAAGUUCUUGCAUUUAUCACCAUGAACACAAUUGCCUGUGACCCAAUACUUGCAUAACUGUUGAUGGGACUUUUGACUAGCUUUAACCCCAAAUGCUCCUUGGCUCUUCAUAACUUUUGGUUGGGUCCCCUGAGAGAUUUUGGGGGUAUGAUAGUUGGGAUUCCUCCAGGCCAGUUUGGACUGCUUAGGUUGUGGGGCUGAUGAUUCUGGGUGCAAAAAUCUACAUGGGUUUCUGUUGCAAUUCCCAGCAAGCCAAUACUUACAAACCUCAUUCUUCGUAGAAGGUCCUCCUCCAAUUCAAUCAAACACAGAUCUUCCUGGUACUCUUGUUGCUAAUUUUACAUCCAUACUGUAGAGAAGAAUCCAAGUAAUCAAUCAUAACGACCAAUAUCACAAUAGAAGAAACAUAUUUACCGAGAUCCAAAUGAUCAAUCGCAACGAAUUGGAUCCGACCAAUCACUAUAGAAGAAACAUGUUUACAGAGUUCCAAAUGAUUCAUCACAACGAAUCCUUUCCGACCGAUAAUAUUUACCGAGGUCCAAAAUAUCAAUCACAACUAAUGGAAUCUGACCAAUCAUUGUAGCAUUGUGUUCCAUAAGAACAGUUUACAGGGUCCAAAUAAUCUAUCACUACGAAUCGGAUCCUACCAAACGCAAUAGAAAAUACAUAUUUACAAAGGUCCAAAUAAUCGAUCGCUCACAACGAGACGGAUCCGACAAAUCAUCAUCCAAGAAACAUAUGCUAUAUGUACAGAGUUUCAAACAAUCGAUCACAACGAAUCGGAUCCUACCAAACGCAAUAGAAAAUACAUAUUUACAAAGGUCCAAAUAAUCGAUCGCUCACAACGAGACGGAUCCGACAAAUCAUCAUCCAAGAAACAUAUGUUAUAUGUACAGAGGUUCAAACAAUCGAUCACAACGAAUCGGAUCCAUCCAAUCAUCGUAGCAGUGUGUUCCAUAAGAAAAGUUAAACCAAAUGAAAACCCUAAUUUAGCGAAUACAACUCUGAUAAUAUACCUGAAGAUCAAAUACUUAUCCGCAGAAAUUCUUCCCAAGUUGCAAUGCGACACGCUGAGAGCUGUGAUUGUAGAACGAUCAAUAAAAAACAAAUCUUACCCAAACCUCAAAUCGAUUAGAGAGAAGGGUUUGAACUAAGGAUAGGGGGAAAUUUUGGCGGUGUUAUGUAUUUAUAGGCCGUGAUUGCUUUGUCCACAAGAAUGAUUGUGAUUCCAAUUUCAAGUCGGCUACUCUGUAGCUUCGGACUUCGGUG
rnacentral:lncRNA from 1 species